UUGAGACCGGCGCACGGGUGCGUAACGCGUAUGCAAUCUACCCUUUACUGGGGAAUAGCCCGGAGAAAUUCGGAUUAAUGCCCCAUAUGCCCACGGAAUCGCAUGGUUCAGUGGGGAAAGUUCCGACGGUAAAGGAUGAGCAUGCGUCCCAUUAGCUAGUUGGUGAGGUAACGGCUCACCAAGGCGACGAUGGGUAGGGGGCCUGAGAGGGUGAUCCCCCACACUGGUACUGAGACACGGACCAGACUCC
rnacentral:rRNA from 1 species